UCACUGAUGUUUUCUUAGUUCUUACUCUUCUCAAUUUCUCAAAUAGUUCCCAGAGUUGAAACCACGAAAGUAUAUAAGGGUUUGAAAAGUUUCGGAUCCUUGAGGAGUUCGUCCAACGACUGUGGUACACGUUCACAAAUAGAUUGAAGGUCAUCGAUCAUGACCAGUCUCUGGAUUCCAAAACUUCUACAUUUCAGGAUUAUGUGUUCCAUAUCGGCAAGCUCUUCAUUGCAAUAUGUACAUUCAGCGCUCGGAAUCAAGUUAAGCCUCUUCAGGUCUUGACUGAUUGCGGCUUGAUAGUCAGUGUGAGGUAUCUUCAACAACGUAGAAUGGUCAACAUCAAAGCCAUUCCUUGCAGCCAGAUCAACAAUUUCAUUCCCCCUGAUGCCACGGUGCGAUGGUACCCAAAGGAAGAGCAGUGUCUUACCAACUACCCCGGGUACUCCAAUAUCACAUAAGAUGGCUAUUAAAAUUGAGGGGACCACGUUAUCGAACGCGCCCUGUACAUCAAGGAAGACACAAGCUGUAGCAGAGUGACUGUCAAGAGAAUUCCUAAGUUCUGAGACCAAUGCUGUAAAACUUUCUGCUGCACUUCGGCCUUUCCUAAAUCCGAAUUGUUCAUUUGGUAAGAUAUUAUUUGAUUCGACAUAAUAAUCUAAUCUUGUCUUUAACAUGCACUCAAAUACUUUACCUAUACAUGAGGACAGAGAAAUUGGUCGAUAAGAGUUACAGUCAUCAGGAGGCUUAUCUGGUUUAAGUAUAG